rnacentral:tRNA from 1 species
GCCGAAAUAGCUCAGUUGGGAGAGCGUUAGACUGAAGUUUCAAAGGUCCCUGGUUCAAUCCCGGUUUCGGCA